AUUGAACGCCGGCGGCAGGCCUAACACAUGCAAGUCGAGCGAGCGGCGGACGGGUGAGUAAUGUCUGGGAAACUGCCUGAUGGAGGGGGAUAACUACUGGAAACGGUAGCUAAUACCGCAUACCAUCAGAUGUGCCCAGAUGGGAUUAGCUAGUAGGUGGGGUAACGGCUCACCUAGGCGACGAUCCCUCGCUGGUCAGAGAGGAGGACCAGCCACACUGGAAUUGGGACACGGUCCAGACUCCUACGGGGGGCCGAAGUGGGGAAUAUUGGACAAUGGGCGAAAUCCUGAUCCAGCCAUACCGCGUGUGUGAAGAAGUUCUUCGGAUUGUAAAGCACUUUAAGUUGGGAGGCGUUACCAACAGAAUAAGCACCGGCUAACUUCGUGCCAGCAGCCGCGGUAAUUC
rnacentral:rRNA from 1 species